rnacentral:rRNA from 1 species
UACGUAGGGUGCGAGCGUUGUCCGGAAUUAUUGGGCGUAAAGGGCUCGUAGGCGGUUUGUCGCGUCGGGAGUGAAAACUCAGGGCUUAACCCUGAGCCUGCUUCCGAUACGGGCAGACUAGAGGUAUGCAGGGGGAGAACGGAAUUCCUGGUGUAGCGGUGAAAUGCGCAGAUAUCAGGAGGAACACCGGUGGCGAAGGCGGUUCUCUGGGCAUUACCUGACGCUGAGGAGCGAAAGUGUGGGGAGCGAACAGG